rnacentral:rRNA from 1 species
AAGAUGGCGACCGGUGCACGGGUGAGUAACACGUAUCCAACCUGCCGAUAACUCUGGAAUAGCCUUUCGAAAGAAAGAUUAAUACCGGAUGGCAUACGAAUAUCGCAUGAUUAUUUUUAUUAAAGAAUUUCGGUUAUCGAUGGGGAUGCGUUCCAUUAGUUUGUUGGCGGGGUAACGGCCCACCAAGACAACGAUGGAUAGGGGUUCUGAGAGGAAGGUCCCCCACAUUGGAACUGAGACACGGUCCAA